GUAGGGAAUCUUGCGCAAUGGGCGAAAGCCUGACGCAGCCAUGCCGCGUGAAUGAUGAAGGUCUUAGGAUUGUAAAAUUCUUUCACCGGGGACGAUAAUGACGGUACCCGGAGAAGAAGCCCCGGCUAACUUCGUGCCAGCAGCCGCGGUAAUACGAAGGGGGCUAGCGUUGCUCGGAAUUACUGGGCGUAAAGGGCGCGUAGGCGGACAGCUUAGUCAGAGGUGAAAGCCCAUGGCUCAACCUUGGAAUUGCCUUUGAUACUGGCUGUCUUGAGUUUGGGAGAGGUGAGUGGAACUCCGAGUGUAGAGGUGAAAUUCGUAGAUAGUCGGAAGAACACCAGUGGCGAAGGCGACUCACUGGCCCAAUACUGACGCUGAGGCGCGAAAGCGUGGGGAGCAAACAGGAUUAGAUACCCUAGUAGUCC
rnacentral:rRNA from 1 species